GAUGAACGCUAGCGGGAGGCCUAACACAUGCAAGCCGAGCGGUAUUUGUCCUUCGGGACAGAGAGAGCGGCGUACGGGUGCGGAACACGUGUGCAACCUGCCUUUAUCUGGGGGAUAGCCUUUCGAAAGGAAGAUUAAUACCCCAUAAUAUAUCGAAUGGCAUCAUUCGAUAUUGAAAACUCCGGUGGAUGGAGAUGGGCACGCGCAAGAUUAGAUAGUUGGUGAGGUAACGGCUCACCAAGUCAGUGAUCUUUAGGGGGCCUGAGAGGGUGAUCCCCCACACUGGUACUGAGACACGGACCAGACUCCUACGGGAGGCAGCAGUGAGGAAUAUUGGACAAUGGGUGAGAGCCUGAUCCAGCCAUCCCGCGUGAAGGACUAAGGCCCUAUGGGUUGUAAACUUCUUUUAUACUGGGAUAAACCUACUUACGUGUAAGUAGCUGAAGGUACAGUAUGAAUAAGCACCGGCUAACUCCGUG
rnacentral:rRNA from 1 species